rnacentral:lncRNA from 1 species
GAUCGGACGGUUUAAAAAUGUACCACGUCGUGUUCUUCAUGUUCUUCACCGGCCGUGGGUGGAAAGAUGUGGAUGAAUUGAGAAGCAGCUUGAAUGCAUCGCUAAAAGAUGCCAGGUGGGGUUUGUGAUGUUAAUUCCCACCCCCGUUUCUGGGCAGGCCUUCGGACUGCGGGCCUUCUCUCCUAGGGGUCUUUUCCCACCCCCACACUCAGGAGCGUGUACAGAUGUUCCCUCUUCCUCCAAGAAAGUGUACCUGAAAUAUGCCAUACGUGUGCCCAGGAGCCACAGCCACAAGCAGGGACAUCUCAACCUCAGGACCUCUGCAUGGCAUCAUCAAGGAGCCAGAGACCCAGAAAGCCUGGAUGCCAAAGGUCACAUGGAGGUAAACAGGAAGCAUAGAACCCCAGGUGCUGUCAGGAGCUACCUGACAACCACAUGGGAAAUCAUUCCGAAGGUGAAGCUGCCACAGAGAGCAAGAGACACAGCCCUGGUGACUUUAUCAACCUCUUGA